GUGUGUGUGUGUGUGUGUGUGUCAUAUUAUGCUACUUAUUUGGAAAGAAAUGGUGUGCAAUGGAGGGUACCAAAUGGUAAGAAGAUAGAAAAAAAUUCUGGGAAAAACCAUCAAAAUAUUUUGAAUACCCAAAGCAGGAGUUCAUGUGAUAUAACAUGAAAUAAGUAAAUGCUAUUAUAAACAUGAGGCAAGUAAGAAGUUUUGUCUCCCAAGAGUCAUUGCUCCAUUCACAUAUAAAUUCUUCAGUCAAACAUCUCCUUAUACAUAGAUAUACACACAAUUCAUAUUGAAUAGCAUACAAAUGAAAUCCAGACGACAUAUGAGGAAAACUUAAUCAAGGGAAAUAAAUUUAGUAAUGUUACAGGAUGAUAAACACAAAAACAGCACAUAAAGAGAAUGUCCAUUUCUAUACUAGUAAAGCACCCAUAUUGUCCUUCGAUAAACAGAAGGAAAAGACUCGGGAAAACAUUAGUAAUGCUGAUAAGCAAACAAAGCUUUCUGAUCAAGAAGAUUUCAUGAAUCAUAAUUGCUUGCUUUGUUUUUAAUCAAAGAUUCCCAUAAUUGCUUCCUUGCCUCAGCUGAUGUGAGCUCAACGAGGGAACUUGGCCAAGUUUUCUACAAAAGAAAUUUACCUUUUUAUCAUAGGGGCUAGGGCAUAAAUUUUCAUUGCACUUUUCAUCAGUUGAAUCUGGUCAUUCCCACAAUCCUUCAGAAUUAACUUUGAAGUUCUCCAAAAUGUUCAAAAUCAUUGUUAAAGAGACCAUCAUACUUUAUUCAGUACCUAAGAAACUAAUAAUUAAUUAACACCUAAUUAAUGCAACACAGUUAUAUAUAUUACACAAGCAUUUGUGUGGAAGUUGAACUUGGCUUAUACCAGCAUGAUGCAAAUAGUUCGCUUGACAUAACCAACUACUUCAGCUGUUUUCCCCCAACAUGCAUACUUAAACUAUUCACUUGAG
rnacentral:misc_RNA from 1 species